rnacentral:rRNA from 1 species
AUUGAACGCUGGCGGCAGGCCUAACACAUGCAAGUCGAGCGAGCGGCGGACGGGUGAGUAAUGUAUGGGGACUGCCCGAUAGAGGGGGAUAACUACUGGAAACGGUGGCUAAUACCGCAUACUAUCGGAUAACCCAUAUGGGAUUAGCGAGUAGGUGGGGUAAAGGCUCACCUAGGCGACGAACUCAAGCUGGUCUGAGAGGAUGAUCAGCCACCUGGGGACUGCAACAUGGCCCAGACUCCUAGGGGGGCAGCAGUGUGGAAUAUUGCACAAUGGACGCAAGCCUAAUGCAGCCAUGCCGCGUGUAUGAAGAAGGCCUUAGGGUUUUAAACUACUUUCAGCGUGGAGUCGUUACCCGCAGAAGAAGCCCCGGCUAACUCCGUGCCAGCAGCCGCGGUAAUAC